AUUACUUCUCAGCCUUUUGGCUAAGAUCAAAAUAUAAUAUCUGUUCUUAUUAGCUUAAUAUCUGACGCAGUCCCUAUUUGGGAUCAUUGAUAUUAAACUGAUAUUUAGAAAAAGUUAGGUUGGCCAAGUAUUGCAGUACUUCCAGGAUUCAGCCCAUCUCCC
rnacentral:snRNA from 1 species